GAAAUGGGUGUACAGCUCCCUUCUCAGAUGGGGGUUGGAGGGUUGGAGGUAAUGUUAUGCGGAAGUUUUUUUUACACUGCUGAAUGGUGUAGAGAUGUUGGUUAUUCUUGCAAAAAUCAAUUGCUCUCAGCACUUGUCCCUCCAGUCUUUCAUUCUUUCCUUUCUCCCUUGUUUUCUCAGAUUCCUAUUCUAUCUUUGCCUCUGCCGAAAGCCCGCCCGUGUCCUCUGUGGUACUCAUCUUUCUGCCCCAGAGUUGUCUUAAGCGGGGUGAAUUCAUCCUCCCCAAAUUCUUGUCUGUUUCUUAAGAACUCUAAAAAUGCAACCGGAUGGACUACUGCUUGUUGAUACAGUGAACUGGAUGUGAAUUUCAAAUAGUGAUUGUUUGCUUCGAUUUUGUUUACUCCUUAAUCUUCUGGGGUCAGGUUAACCAAGCUUCUCUCUAUCAAAGACAAACUCCUUGCUUGAAGUUUUGAGGAAUCUUCCCCAGAAACCACAACUGUGGUGGCAGGGACCACAUCCCCUGCAUGGAACGUCCCUGGAUGUUGCGGCAUGGCAGGCACCAACCAUUUCCUCACAGUGCCUCUUGUUCUUUUCAAUUGCCUCUUCGUGUACUUUUUCUUUCCAUUUAGGCAAUUUGAAGUAGAAGCAUGCGCCACUCUGCAUAAUAAUGUAUUAUAAAGGCAUUUCAAGGAAUGAGUUAUUAGAAUUGUUUACAUGCAUGGUUCAAAUUUACUGGCAAAUUGCUAGGGCCUCGGUUUUAUGAUGGAGCUGCCAGCCAGGCUCCUUCUGGAUAAAACUCUGAAACAGGAGAAGUUGCCCUUUGCUAUGGCUCACCAGCACUCUCUCUGCCCUGUUCCUGCCUUUUCAGCACCUCCCUCCUUGCCCGCCCCCAAAUACCUCUGUGCGGCUCUCAGGCCUUUUGGACCUUCGUGGGAAGAUACUCUGUGGGUCCUUCCCAGGCCCAUCCCCAUCAAAGUUCCUGGACUGCCGGGGAAGGGAGUCGGAGCUCCUGCAGCAGAGGGCGGAGCAGCCACAAGAAAAUGCAAAACAGGCCAAGAAUAACAGGGCUUUCCAGAUGAGGGGCAUGCUAGAGCCAGCAUCACCACUGGGGGCUGACGCUAAUGCUGGCUAUCAGUGCACCCUCAGCCGUUGCUGCCAGCUGGGACACCUACACAUGGUCAUUCCAUGUCAUGGGAGCCUCCUCCCAGCUUCUUAUCCUGUGCUGCCUACAUGGCAGCUUGGGGCUCCAAAGAUGAAGGUCCCAAGAGAAUAAGGUAAAAACAGAAUUGCUCUUUUUAUCUACCCACGUUGCACACUCUGUCAUCCCAUCACUAAGAUUAUAUCAGGUUCCAGGGGAAGGCACAGAGACAUCUUCUCUGGAUUGAGGAGAGGUAAGGAACUUUUGGACAUGGCCUAAAACUUCUACAUGUCUGAUCAUGAUGUCCGCUGCUCCCAAGUUCUGACCUCCGGGAGUUUCCAUCUAGUUGGAUCUAUGAAAGUUCACUAAGUAUCCAAGGAAAAUAAUGAAAUAUUGACUUUCCGAGGGAGUGAGGUGAUAGAAGAGUAGGCCUCAACUAGGGUCUGGGAUGAACACAUGAAUGUCUAUAGGUCACAGGCUAAGGGACUACUUGUCACAGGGACAAAUGUUCUCCAACUCUGGAGCAGGAGUUCUCGCUAGCUUUGUUUAAACUCAUGUAUUUGCUCUCCAUAACUUUUUGCUGCAGUGUUGGAGAUUGAACCCACAGUCUUGGGCAUGCUAGGCAAGUGCUCUACCAUUGAGCUACUCCACCAGCCUCUGUUCUCCAUAACAUACUUGCUCCUUACCUGUCUUCUUCCCUUGGUUUCCCCAGCUGCUCUUUCUUUCAGCUCCAUUAUGCUACUGUGUUCCUAAAAAUGCUUCCCUAUCCAUUAACAUCCUGUGGUCACCACUUUAUCUUUUUUUUUUCCCUUGGAAAAGACUAAAGUUCCCUUCCCUCCCCUUCCGUGUUGAUUUGCUACUCCAUUGCCAUUUUUCAGACCAAGGAAUUUCUUUUUCCCCUUUCUUGUCUCAUUACUUGUUGAUUACUUGAAAUAUAUAAUUUGAUGUUGGUUUCUUCCUUCUUGGCCACUGUCUUGUGCUUUCUGAGGUCCUGUCUUGUGUUCCAUGUGACUCAUGGCUUUCUCGUCUGCAAUGGUCUUUCUCAUCCCAGGAGCCAGUUGCCCAGCACGGGCCCAGGACGUGAAACCCUGGUGCACACCCUGCCAGCGUCUCCACCUGACACAGCUUGGACAUCUUCCUGCAGAGGAGGCCUUGCUCCCGUCCAAUCCAGGAACUUUCAGAUGUGAUCUCUACUCACUUUCCAACAAAGUAAAACACUGUCACAUCUGACAGUUUCAAUGGAGCUGUUUCAGCUCCUGAGUGCUUUCCGGAAGAAGUAAAGUUGGGUGCCCUACCUUAAGGAGCUUUUCUAGACAGCAGAGAGGCACUUUUCCUGCACCUGGUUACCACACUGUAUCCUUCAAAACUUCUUGUGGACAAGCUGAUGAAUUAUCCAGAACUGCUAAAAAUCAGUGUAAACCCACUCUUGCUACUUCCUUCUGGCAUUGCGAAGGCAGAACCCCAAAGGGGAAUGUCUGAAACUGAACUCGAAAAACUUCUGCACAAUGAAAAGCACCUUACGCGACUGGCAUCAGUUUGUUUUCUUGAGUGAUCUUGAUGUAUGAAUGACUUUGAUUAAGGCAAGGGAAGAAUAAACAUAGAUUCUGUCUAUUAAAGGAGAAAAGCAGGGUGGAUUUGUAAAUAAUCUUAAAAGAAAACAAGAACUGUUUGCCACAGAAUGCACAACACGGCUUAAUCAGGAGAUGAGAAUGUGGAUGGACUCUGGUCCACAAAACACAAGGAGAAGGCAACUGGCAAUGAUCUUCUUGUAGCAGGAAUUCCAGUCAAUGGGAUCUCCAAACACAGCCCCAGUUGGGGAGGGUGCUGAGGGUGCCCCGACCUUUCCCUGCGUGGGAGUGGACACGUCCUACAUCUGCUUCGCAUGUGUGCUAAACUGGUUUUGGAAUCGAUCCUGCCACAUGGAGGAAUCAAAAGAUUAUCAACGAGAAGCAUAACAUCCAUGCAGCAGCUCACCAGGUGUGUGGUGAGAGUUGGACAGAAGGAAGAUUUUUUCUUCCCGAACCCCAGAAAGGUGGAUGGAAGAGUUCCUUCUAAUUAGGGAAGAAUGCUACAUUUCCAUCUUCUUGCAUGAUUCUGGCCAGAGAGGGAGCCUUAAAUGUCCCGAGUUACGUGGGAAUUUCUCACUUCUGUGUUGUGCAAAGCCCAUUGUGAAACCAGAGUGCCCUCAGCACUCUGUGUGUGCCUUGCUAGAGGUAUAAUUUUCCAUACCUGUUUUGCUUUGGCCAGAGAAAGAAGCCCAUGAUUGCAUGUUGACAUUGCCUGGCUUGAGGGACCACUUUAUCCCAUUGGGCUGUGAAAUCUGCAUUCCUUUAAUGCCUGUCUCAUUUGUGCCAUUCCUUGCCUGAAUAUUCUUUGCUACAGUAAAGUUCGGAGAGAAGGAAUACAGAUAAGUAAAUAGAAGAGUAGUCUAUCCAGCUGAAGGCUUCUCCUGGAAAAACUCUGGCCGACUCCAUUUAAAUACAAAGUCUGAAGGACCCAGAUUAAAAAAAUCUUGAGCUAGAAAAAGGUGAAUUGGAAAUGGUGAAAGUGGCUGGUAGAUUAGGAGUGUGGGCUCUGGGGCCAGGGGGCUGAUCCUUAUUCUGCCUCUCCUGCCUUAUGUGGGGGUCACCUUAGGUACAUGAGCUCACCUCUCACACUCUAGCAUUUUGUUCACCAUGUCCCCUGUACUCAAAUCUAGUUGCACAGUUAAAAGCCUAAAUAAGUCCUUGGACUGUCAUCCUCUAAAAGUAUUCAUUGCCUUGAACAGAAGCAGAUGCAACAAUGUGAAGCUUCAACCAAGUUUAGCCUUUUUUUUUUCUUUUUACAGUUUACAAAACAAGAUAUUUUAUGACUUAAUUUAUACAUUGAAUAGAAGAGGACUAUUCCAAAUAUUAUCUUUAUCUUCUCAACAUAAAUAAUAAACAACUCCAGUAAUCAAAAUUUACUACAAUUGUAAUAGAUUUUGGCAGAGUUUAUGUAUUUUAUGUGGAGCGAACAUAACACUGACUUCCAAGUAUGGAGGCCAGGAUUUCCACUUUGGCUUUGAUAAGUGGGGGAAAAAAAUCCACUACUGUAUUUGUAAUCUUCACUACAUUCAAGAGAUUAAUUCUCAUAAAUAAAAUUGUUUAUACCAGCUUCUAAUCAGAAAGUUGAAAUUAUCUGUGGCAAUGUAACCACUAAAAACUUGUAUACUAUGAAAAUAUUUCAAUAAUUAAUGCAUGCUCCAUCUAGAGUAAUUGACAGUGAGGUCAUAAACGUAAUGGGCCAUCUGUGUUUGAUUUGUACAUGAAAAUGCUUAAAGGGAUAGGCAGGUAAUUCAAGCUUCUCAGGAAAGGACGAUUUGUUCCAACUCCUCCAAGUAGCAGAGCUGUUUAGUACAUUUUUCCCCUUUUUCCAUAAAGUCUUUUCCAGAUUUCUCCUUGAGGUCUGCACCUUUCCGUGCUGCUCAUUCUAAUGCAAAGAUCCCUUGUAGACUUUUUGAUGUGCAUGCUGCUCACAAUCGGCCUCAAGCAAUUGUACCUGGCUCUCUUAAUCAUUUGGAUGGCAACUUGAUAGCCAAAUGUCGGAUUAAAAAAUCCUAGUAACUCACUCCCAUGUUUUGAUUUUAUUCAUUCUACUCAGUCUGACCACUUUGAAAAUUUAUUAUUGCACCUUUAGCUCUUUUGUCAGUAAACAAUUUACCAACUUUGUUUCUAUUCUUUAACAAAAAGUCAUAGUAGCAUUAAGAAUCUUAGUAUGAUUUUUGUAACAUACCCCUUUGGGCAUGGAACAGAAGUUCCACAUUUCUGAAAGUAAUAUGGCCAUGGUAGACACCCAAGGAAAUUAUAGGAUUUUCUGUGUAAGAAAACCAGAAAGCAUUGAGUAUUGUGGUCAUGACUUGUAUCUAGAUGUUUCCCCAACAUAUCAUGUGCUCAUAGGUGAGGCUGUUUGGAGUUGGCUGGAUCUAGAAUGUCUGACACUGAGAUUAAGGGUGUGUGAUAACUGGAAUACUCCACUGAUUGGUUUAUCAUAG
rnacentral:lncRNA from 1 species